AAUCAACGCUGGCGGCGUGCCUCAGACAUGCAAGUCGAACGAUUAAAGCUCUCUUCGGAGAGUGCAUAGAGUGGCGCACGGGUGAGUAACACGUAAGUAAUCUACCUUCGAGUGGGGAAUAACGUCCGGAAACGGACGCUAAUACCGCAUAAUGCAGCGGCAUCGCAAGAUGACAGUUGUUAAAGAUUUAUCGCUUGAAGAGGAGCUUGCGGCAGAUUAGCUAGUUGGUAAGGUAAUGGCUUACCAAGGCUACGAUCUGUAACCGGUCUUAGAGGACGGUCGGUCACACUGACACUGAAUAACGGGUCAGACUCCUACGGGAGGCAGCAGUCGGGAAUUUUGGGCAAUGGGCGAAAGCCUGACCCAGCAACGCCGCGUGAAGGAUGAAGUAUUUCGGUAUGUAAACUUCGAAAGAAUGGGAAGAAUAAAUGACGGUACCAUUUAUAAGGUCCGGCUAACUACGUGCCAGCAGCCGCCGCGGUAA
rnacentral:rRNA from 1 species